GACGAACGCUGGCGGCGUGCUUAACACAUGCAAGUCGAACGGUAAGGCCCUUCGGGGUACACGAGUGGCGAACGGGUGAGUAACACGUGGGUGAUCUGCCCUGCACUUCGGGAUAAGCCUGGGAAACUGGGUCUAAUACCGGAUAGGACCCUGGGAUGCAUGUCCUGGGGUAGAAAGCUUUUGCGGUGUGGGAUGGGCCCGCGGCCUAUCAGCUUGUUGGUGGGGUGAUGGCCUACCAAGGCGACGACGGGUAGCCGGCCUGCGAGGGUGACCGGCCACACUGGGACUGAGAUACGGCCCAGACUCCUACGGGAGGCAGCAGUGGGGAAUAUUGCACAAUGGGCGCAAGCCUGAUGCAGCGACGCCGCGUGAGGGAUGACGGCCUUCGGGUUGUAAACCUCUUUCAGCACCGACGAAGCGCAAGUGACGGUAGGUGCAGAAGAAGGACCGGCCAACUACGUGCCAGCCGCCGCGGUAA
rnacentral:rRNA from 1 species